rnacentral:rRNA from 1 species
CCAGACUCCUACGGGAGGCAGCAGUGGGGAAUAUUGCACAAUGGGGGAAACCCUGAUGCAGCGACGCCGCGUGAGCGAUGAAGUAUUUCGGUAUGUAAAGCUCUAUCAGCAGGGAAGAAAAUGACGGUACCUGACUAAGAAGCCCCGGCUAACUACGUGCCAGCAGCCGCGGUAAUACGUAGGGGGCAAGCGUUAUCCGGAUUUACUGGGUGUAAAGGGAGCGUAGACGGCAUGGCAAGCCAGAUGUGAAAUACCGGGGCUCAACCCCGGGACUGCAUUUGGAACUGUUAAGCUGGAGUGUCGGAGAGGCAGGCGGAAUUCCUGGUGUAGCGGUGAAAUGCGUAGAUAUCAGGAGGAACACCGGUGGCGAAGGCGGCCUGCUGGACUGCGACUGACGUUGAGGCCCGAAAGCGUGAGGAGCAAACAGGAUUAGAUACCCCUGUAUC